AGUGAACGCUGGCGGUAGGCCUAACACAUGCAAGUCGAACGGCAGCACAGUAAGAGCUUGCUCUUACGGGUGGCGAGUGGCGGACGGGUGAGGAAUACAUCGGAAUCUACUUUUUCGUGGGGGAUAACGUAGGGAAACUUACGCUAAUACCGCAUACGACCUACGGGUGAAAGCAGGGGAUCUUCGGACCUUGCGCGAUUGAAUGAGCCGAUGUCGGAUUAGCUAGUUGGCGGGGUAAAGGCCCACCAAGGCGACGAUCCGUAGCUGGUCUGAGAGGAGGAUCGGCCACACUGGAGCUGAGACACGGUCCAGACUCCUACGGGAGGCAGCAGUGGGGAAUAUUGGACAAUGGGCGCAAGCCUGAUCCAGCCAUACCGCGUGGGUGAAGAAGGCCUUCGGGUUGGAAAGCCCUUUUGUUGGGAAAGAAAAGCAGCAGGUUAAUACCCCGCUGUUCUGACGGUACCCAAAGAAUAAGCACCGGCUAACUUCGUG
rnacentral:rRNA from 1 species